CCUACGGGCGGCAGCAGUCGAGAAUCAUUCACAAUGGGGGAAACCCUGAUGGGGCGACGCCGCGUGGGGGAAUGAAGGUCUUCGGAUUGUAAACCCCUGUCAUGUGGGAGCAAAUUAAAAAGAUAGUACCACAAGAGGAAGAGACGGCUAACUCAGUGCCAGCAGCCGCGGUAAGACAGAGGGCGCAAGCGUUUUUCGGAAUACCGGGGCGGAAAGCGUGCGGAGGCUGUUUCGUAAGUCGUGUGUGAAAGGCGCGGGCUCAACCCGCGGACGGCACAUGAUACUGCGAGACUAGAGUAAUGGAGGGGGAACCGGACUUCUCGGUGUAGCAGU
rnacentral:rRNA from 1 species